rnacentral:rRNA from 1 species
AUGGAUCUCUCCAUAUUGAGCUGGAAUGUGAGGGGUUUAAACAAUCCCGCGAAGAGAAGGGCUGUGCAGAUUUUUGUGUCUGACCUCAAAUGCAACAUAGUAUGUUUGCAAGAAACGAAGCUCAACGAUCCUUCAAAUGGGCUGGUUGUGGAGGCACUAGGACCGAGAUUCAAGGAUAAUUUCAUCUCCCUCCGUGCGAACGGCCCUAGGAGAGGUGUGCUCAUUGCUUGCAAUGAGGAUUUCGAGAUAAAAAAUGAUCCAUCUGCGGCUGGGGAGUUUUCAGUCUCGGGGAUGAUCAGGUGCAGAGCCAAUGGGGAGAGCUGGUCCAUCUCCGGCGUUUACGGACCGCAAUUGGAAGAGGAGAAGAUCCAGUUCAUUGAUGAACUGCGAAGGAUCAAGAUGCAAAUGCUGCCGCGGUGGUUGAUCCUCGGUGAUUUUAAUAUGAUCAGUAGGGCAAGUGAUAAGAGCAAUAACAAUUUAAAUCUGAGAAUGAUGGGGCGGUUUCGGGCUGCCAUUGAGGAGAUGGAGCUGAUUGAUUUCCCGUUGCUGGGAAGGAGAUUCACAUGGCUUGAUUUGGCGCAAGAGGAGAGGGAUCUAUCCGCUGAGGAGAGGAGGCUGCGUGCUAUGCUGAAAGCCAAGUUGUUGGGCCUGGCGGCUAUUGACAGAGCUAAAUGGAGGCAGAAAUCGAGGCUAACUGAUAUAAGAGAAGGAGAUGCCAACACUAGGUUCUUUCAAAUCAGAGCUAGUGGAAGGCGCCGCAAGAAUCACAUACCAAGUUUGAACGGAAGGAGUGGAAGAGUGACUGAUCAUGAGGGGAAGGCUCAGAUCCUAUUCGAUAGAUUCAAAAGCAUUAUGGGCACACCGUUCUCGAGGACCACAAAAAUGAAUUGGGAGGCCAUGGGAUUGCCAAGGCGAGAUCUGCAGCACUUAGACAACCCCUUCACCGAGCAUGAGCUGCACGCGGCCGUAACUGAGAUGCACGGUGAGAAAGCACCUGGGCCGGAUGGGUUCACGGGGAUGUUUUUCAAGCAUUGUUGGCAACUGAUUAAAGAGGACCUCCUUGCUGCGGUGAAUUGUGUUCACUCGCUCCAUGGACACAACUGGAAGCUGCUAAAUACCGCAAAUAUUGUGCUGCUGCCCAAGAAGGACGAUGCUCAGGAGGCAAGUGACUUUAGGCCGGUGAGUCUAAUGCACAGUGUUCCAAAAAUUGUCAGCAAGAUGUUGGCUUCCCGCUGA